rnacentral:rRNA from 1 species
ACAUGCAGUCGAGCGGGGGAGGUAGCUUGCUACCGGACCUAGCGGCGGACGGGUGAGUAAUGCUUAGGAAUCUGCCUAUUAGUGGGGGACAACAUCUCGAAAGGGAUGCUAAUACCGCAUACGUCCUACGGGAGAAAGCAGGGGAUCUUCGGACCUUGCGCUAAUAGAUGAGCCUAAGUCGGAUUAGCUAGUUGGUGGGGUAAAGGCCUACCAAGGCGACGAUCUGUAGCGGGUCUGAGAGGAUGAUCCGCCACACUGGGACUGAGACACGGCCCAGACUCCUACGGGAGGCAGCAGUGGGGAAUAUUGGACAAUGGGGGGAACCCUGAUCCAGCCAUGCCGCGUGUGUGAAGAAGGCCUUAUGGUUGUAAAGCACUUUAAGCGAGGAGGAGGCUACUCUAGUUAAUACCUAGAGAUAGUGGACGUUACUCGCAGAAUAAGCACCGGCUAACUCUGUGCCAGCAGCCGCGGUAAUACAGAGGGUGCGAGCGUUAAUCGGAUUUACUGGGCGUAAAGCGUGCGUAGGCGGCUUAUUAAGUCGGAUGUGAAAUCCCCGAGCUUAACUUGGGAAUUGCAUUCGAUACUGGUGAGCUAGAGUAUGGGAGAGGAUGGUAGAAUUCCAGGUGUAGCGGUGAAAUGCGUAGAGAUCUGGAGGAAUACCGAUGGCGAAGGCAGCCAUCUGGCCUAAUACUGACGCUGAGGUACGAAAGCAUGGGGAGCAAACAGGAUUAGAUACCCUGGUAGUCCAUGCCGUAAACGAUGUCUACUAGCCGUUGGGGCCUUUGAGGCUUUAGUGGCGCAGCUAACGCGAUAAGUAGACCGCCUGGGGAGUACGGUCGCAAGACUAAAACUCAAAUGAAUUGACGGGGGCCCGCACAAGCGGUGGAGCAUGUGGUUUAAUUCGAUGCAACGCGAAGAACCUUACCUGGCCUUGACAUACUAGAAACUUUCCGGAAGAUGGAUUGGUGCCUUCGGGAUCUAGAUACAGGUGCUGCAUGGCUGCCGUCAGCUCGUGUCGUGGAAAGGUUGGGUUAAGUCCCGCAACGAGCGCAACCUUUUCCUUACUUGCCAGCAUUUCGGAUGGGAACUUUAA